rnacentral:misc_RNA from 1 species
CAUUGUAUAUAUUCCCACCCCUAAAUACAUUAAAGGCUUAGCAUCAAAGAUAAAAUGGGCGCGAUUAAAAAAAAAUGUGGACCACUUCACAUCUCUAGCAAACAAUACGCGGUGAUAACAAAGCAGGCAGUUAUAUUAGCCCUAAGAGCCGGUGGUCAGGAUCCAAUAAGCAGUUCAAACCCCAAAAGAUCUAAGUACAAAGUGAUUUCUUCUAAAAUUGGAUUACCUCAAAAUAACCGAAGUUGACCUUGGACUAGACAGGAAUUGCCUUCCCUGAAGAAAGAAAAAAAAUUAAUAUAUAUGCAUUCCGCAGAUUUGAAAGCCUUGUCAUCCUUCCAAUAGUGACACCUACAAACUUCUAUAGUCUAUAACAGUGACUUCAUCCUCUGGUGCAUCUAGGUCUUGAUAGCUGCGUAUUCGCCGAGGAUCCUGUCGAAAGGCUGGAGACAGAAGAAUGGGAGCUGGUCCACUUAACUGGGGCCC